ACGGGUAGCCGGCCUGAGAGGGUGACCGGCCACACUGGGACUGAGACACGGCCCAGACUCCUACGGGAGGCAGCAGUGGGGAAUAUUGCACAAUGGGGGAAACCCUGAUGCAGCGACGCAGCGUGCGGGAUGACGGCCUUCGGGUUGUAAACCGCUUUCAGCAGGGAAGAAGCGAAAAUGACGGUACCUGCAGAAGAAGCCCCGGCCAACUACGUGCCAGCAGCCGCGGUAACACGUAGGGUGCGAGCGUUGUCCGGAAUUAUUGGGCGUAAAGAGCUCGUAGGCGGUUUGUCGCGUCGGCCGUGAAAACCUGGGGCUUAACUCUGGGCCUGCGGUCGAUACGGGCAGACUUGAGUUCGGUAGGGGAGACUGGAAUUCCUGGUGUAGCGGUGAAAUGCGCAGAUAUCAGGAGGAACACCGGUGGCGAAGGCGGGUCUCUGGGCCGAUACUGACGCUGAGGAGCGAAAGCGUGGGGAGCGAACAGGAUUAGAUACCCUGGUAGUCCACGCCGUAAACGUUGGGCGCUAGGUGUGGGGAGCAUUCCAC
rnacentral:rRNA from 1 species